GUGGGGAAUUUUGGACAAUGGGCGCAAGCCUGAUCCAGCAAUGCCACGUGCAGGAAGAAGGCCUUCGGGUUGUAAACUGCUUUUGUACGGAACGAAACGGUCCUGGUUAAUACCUGGGGCUAAUGACGGUACCGUAAGAAUAAGCACCGGCUAACUACGUGCCAGCAGCCGCGGUAAUACGUAGGGUGCGAGCGUUAAUCGGAAUUACUGGGCGUAAAGUGUGCGCAGGCGGUUUUGUAAGACAGGCGUGAAAUCCCCGGGCUUAACCUGGGAAUUGCGCUUGUGACUGCAAGGCUGGAGUGCGGCAGAGGGGGAUGGAAUUCCGCGUGUAGCAGUGAAAUGCGUAGAUAUGCGGAGGAACACCGAUGGCGAAGGCAAUCCCCUGGGCCUGCACUGACGCUCAUGCACGAAAGCGUGGGGAGCAAACAGGAUUAGAAACCCGAGUAGUCC
rnacentral:rRNA from 1 species